rnacentral:rRNA from 2 species
GGGACACGUGGUAUCCUGUCUGAAUAUGGGGGGACCAUCCUCCAAGGCUAAAUACUCCUGACUGACCGAUAGUGAACCAGUACCGUGAGGGAAAGGCGAAAAGAACCCCGGCGAGGGGAGUGAAAAAGAACCUGAAACCGUGUACGUACAAGCAGUGGGAGCACCUUCGGGUGUGACUGCGUACCUUUUGUAUAAUGGGUCAGCGACUUAUAUUCUGUAGCAAGGUUAACCGUAUAGGGGAGCCGCAGGGAAACCGAGUCUUAACUGGGCGUUAAGUUGCAGGGUAUAGACCCGAAACCCGGUGAUCUAGCCAUGGGCAGGUUGAAGGUUGGGUAACACUAACUGGAGGACCGAACCGACUAAUGUUGAAAAAUUAGCGGAUGACUUGUGGCUGGGGGUGAAAGGCCAAUCAAACCGGGAGAUAGCUGGUUCUCCCCGAAAGCUAUUUAGGUAGCGCCUCGUGAAUUCAUCUUCGGGGGUAGAGCACUGUUUCGGCUAGGGGGUCAUCCCGACUUACCAACCCGAUGCAAACUACGAAUACCGAAGAAUGUUAUCACGGGAGACACACGGCGGGUGCUAACGUCCGUCGUGAAGAGGGAAACAACCCAGACCGCCAGCUAAGGUCCCAAAGUCAUGGUUAAGUGGGAAACGAUGUGGGAAGGCACAGACAGCCAGGAUGUUGGCUUAGAAGCAGCCAUCAUUUAAAGAAAGCGUAAUAGCUCACUGGUCGAGUCGGCCUGCGCGGAAGAUGUAACGGGGCUAAACCAUGCACCGAAGCUGCGGCAGCGACACUAUGUGUUGUUGGGUAGGGGAGCGUUCUGUAAGCCUGCGAAGGUGUGCUGUGAGGCAUGCUGGAGGUAUCAGAAGUGCGAAUGCUGACAUAAGUAACGAUAAAGCGGGUGAAAAGCCCGCUCGCCGGAAGACCAAGGGUUCCUGUCCAACGUUAAUCGGGGCAGGGUGAGUCGACCCCUAAGGCGAGGCCGAAAGGCGUAGUCGAUGGGAAACAGGUUAAUAUUCCUGUACUUGGUGUUACUGCGAAGGGGGGACGGAGAAGGCUAUGUUAGCCGGGCGACGGUUGUCCCGGUUUAAGCAUGUAGGCUGGUUGUCCAGGCAAAUCCGGAUAAUCAAGGCUGAGGUGUGAUGACGAGGCACUACGGUGCUGAAGUAACAAAUGCCCUGCUUCCAGGAAAAGCCUCUAAGCAUCAGGUAACAUCAAAUCGUACCCCAAACCGACACAGGUGGUCAGGUAGAGAAUACCAAGGCGCUUGAGAGAACUCGGGUGAAGGAACUAGGCAAAAUGGUGCCGUAACUUCGGGAGAAGGCACGCUGGUGUGUAGGUGAAGUCCCUGCGG